UACGUAGGGGGCAAGCGUUGUCCGGAAUCAUUGGGCGUAAAGAGCGUGUAGGCGGUCCGAUAAGUCCGCUCUGAAAGCCCGGGGCUCAACCCCGGGAGGCGGGCGGAUACUGUCGGGCUAGAGUCCGGAAGAGGCAAGUGGAAUUCCUGGUGUAGCGGUGAAAUGCGCAGAUAUCAGGAGGAACACCGAUGGCGAAGGCAGCUUGCUGUGACGGUACUGACGCUGAGACGCGAAAGCGUGGGGAGCAAACAGG
rnacentral:rRNA from 1 species